UGAAAAGUGAAAUUCUAAAAAGUUUCUGGCGCCACAAAUAUUUCAACUUCAACUUUACCUGCUUAGAGAAAAUAAACUGCUCCUGCAUCAAGGAGGAACGAAAAGAUUUAUUUCCUUUCGAGGCACAUCCUAUGAUCAACAUCUUUCUCA